UUUCUCCGUUUUCAAGAGAGAUACUUCCUACACCCCCGUCUGCCACGAGGGGAGAGCUAUCCCUGCUGCCUGGUAACACCAGCAGGUCUCACCCAGGUCCAGGGCAAACCAGACCUUAUUGCCAGUGACUUUCUAGAGGGGGUUGUUGAAAAGAAGAUGGGAGCAGUGCUGGUUUGGGCACUGCUGAGAAGGGGCCACGGAGUCUUCCCCAUCCCAGCAGCAUCCUGCUUUCAAGCACCAACUCCGUCACCUACGGGUGUCACUGACACGAUGCCUUCUUGGUGGUUAAGGUGCUAUCAGUGCAUGGUACAGAUGGCAAUCUCAUGCCAGGGCUGCAAAACUGUGGGCAGUGAAUGUUUCUCCAGUCAUAGGGGCUCAUCUGUGACCUGUCUCGCUUCUUUCUUCCAAACAGUUUUCCUUCCACCAUAGUCUUGUCAGGUUGCAAGACAAAAGCUAAAGCAUAGCUAAGGGAAGACACGCAACGAUCUGCCAGACUAGAAGCCCACCCUGUCUCCCACAAAACUUACCAUUUGGUCCUUCCAAAUGUCCCUUGAUGCAUACGUUCUGGGGGCAGAAAAGAGCCUGCAUUGCCUCAUCUCAGGCCUGCGCCUGUGUCCAUGGGAUGCUGAAUUGCAGACAGGUGGCUCUGGGAACAUGUGCUGCACAGACAAACACAAGAAAUGUGGAAUGCCUUUAGAGAGGCUGCUUGUUGAGAGACAUCAUUAGCUUCGAGCUGUCUGCUCGUCCCCCGGAGUGGGUGGAACAAGGUGAGAAAAUAUGUGGGGAAAUAAAAAAGCCAAGGGAAGGGAAGGGCUGGUUGUCGAAGGCGAGUAUCUUGGGCUGGGAAAUUGAGACUUGUUUCAGGAGUGUGGCAUAGAAUUUUAAGUAGCACAGUGGAUACAAGCGAAGAAAAGCAAAAGAAAACAGCAACAUGCUAGAGCACCAGGAAGAGCUAGCUGUAACACUGGGCAAUGCUGGUUAAAAAAGGAGACAGAAGCCACUAAAAGCAAGGGACCAUUUACCCAGGCAGAAAACAAAACAGCCAAGGUUUAUGCUUGUUUAUGAUUAUUUUCUUUUUCCAGUACCUAAAUACAACUGUAAAAUGGCAUUAUGAAGUUAUUACCAGGAACAUGGUACUACAUGAGCUGGUUUCUUUCAUGUGAAAGGCUCUUCCUAGAAAUCAAGUGCAUGAGGUUCCGAAUUCCAGCUAUGGUUCAAAGAAUGCAGACUUGGGUCACUGCAAGCCUACAAAGCCAUAGGUAGUUCUGAACAUGUGAUCAUCAGACAUUCAUGUGCAAGUCUGAAUGGAGACAGUGAUCUGUUUAGCAGUGUGCUCUUAAAAAGUUUUAUUGAAUCGGGCUCCAUUUUUUUCCCCAUAAAAUGUCUACAUUCUUUGCCCCACUGUGACUUCAAGACGGUGAUGUAAAGGUGUAGCAGAAAUGCUAAUUCACAGUUUGAAACAGUGAUUGAGCACCUGGUGGGGAGGCAGGACCAACCCAGGGGAGCUCAGGUGCAUGCAAUGAAAUGCAUCUGAGUGAUUGGAAAGGGUGGAGCCAGGAUCCACCCCUUCCCAGACCUCAUUUAAGGGCUGGCAGUGGAGGUGAGGGUAUCUCACUGGAUAUCCCUGCCUACUGGAAAUCUUCCAAAGGUGCAGCCUUCAACAACCCCAGUUCACUUCAGCCCAGUAGAGAUGACACAGUCCAUGCUGCUCCUCCCCUGGCAAUGGUCUCCACACCUCUACAUCAAGCAACUCCUCACUGCGCGGAAAUCUCUCCCUGACUUAAAAAGGAUUCAGUAACUGCCCCGUUGCAUUGUUGGUUUGUUGUUGCCUGGAGAGCUCAGCACCUGAACUCAACACCUCCACGUAAACCUUGGGGCUGGGAACAAGAUUAAAGAACAUAGCAAAACUCACCCUUGUCACCGCGACUCUUGACAUUGGUUUCAUGGAGAAAUCACCAAGACCAGAGGAUUUUUACCACUGCAAACUG
ensembl:lncRNA